CGGGAAACCGGAGCUAAUACGGAUAAUAUAUUGAACCGCAUGGUUCAAUAGUGAAAGACGGUUUUGCUGUCACUUAUAGAUGGAUCCGCGCCGCAUUAGCUAGUUGGUAAGGUAACGGCUUACCAAGGCAACGAUGCGUAGCCGACCUGAGAGGGUGAUCGGCCACACUGGAACUGAGACACGGUCCAGACUCCUACGGGAGGCAGCAGGC
rnacentral:rRNA from 1 species